rnacentral:rRNA from 1 species
GAUGAACGCUGGCGGCGUGCCUAAUACAUGCAAGUCGAGCGAACAGACGAGUAGCUUGCUCCUCUGACGUUAGCGGCGGACGGGUGAGUAACACGUGGAUAACCUACCUAUAAGACUGGGAUAACUUCGGGAAACCGGCGCUAAUACCGGAUAAUAUAUUGAACCGCAUUGUUCAAUAGUGAAAGACGGUUUUGCUGUCACUUAUAGAUGGAUCCGCGCCGCAUUAGCUAGUUGUUAAGGUAACGGCUUACCAAGGCAACGAUGCGUAGCCGACCUGAGAGGGUGAUCGGCCACACUGGAACUGAGACACGGUCCAGACUCCUACGGGAGGCAGCAGUAGGGAAUCUUCCGCAAUGGGCGAAAGCUUGACGGAGCAACGCCGCGUGAGUGAUGAAGGUCUUCGGAUCGUAAAACUCUGUUAUUAGGGAAGAACAAAUGUGUAAGUAACUAUGCACGUCUUGACGGUACCUAAUCAGAAAGCCACGGCUAACUACGUG